GAGAAAUGGUUCUUCGUCACAGGACCAGAAAUCUCUACUCUUCCAGAUUGGACCAUCUCAGAUCGGAUCUCUGCUGACUUUGGAGAUAUUCCCGAAGAGCGUGUGAAGGAGAUGGGAGACUUUCUGAAGAAGAUUCCUCCAAAAGAAUGGAGUUUUACACUUCUGACCAAACAAGCCUGGCUGUACGAUCACAAACGUAAG
rnacentral:lncRNA from 1 species